rnacentral:rRNA from 1 species
UACGUAGGGUGCAAGCGUUAAUCGGAAUUACUGGGCGUAAAGCGUGCGCAGGCGGUUAUGUAAGACAGAUGUGAAAUCCCCGGGCUCAACCUGGGAACUGCAUUUGUGACUGCAUAGCUUGAGUGCGGCAGAGGGGGAUGGAAUUCCGCGUGUAGCAGUGAAAUGCGUAGAUAUGCGGAGGAACACCGAUGGCGAAGGCAAUCCCCUGGGCCUGCACUGACGCUGAGACGCGAAAGCGUGGGGAGCGAACAGG